rnacentral:rRNA from 1 species
GACGAACGCUGGCGGCGUGCCUAACACAUGCAAGUCGAACGAAGAAUGUUUUUCGGAAUAUUCUUAGUGGCGGACGGGUGAGUAACGCGUGAACAAUCUGCCCCGUACAAAGGGAUAGCCUCGGGAAACCGGGAUUAAAACCAUAUAACGCUUUAGUACCGCAUGGUAAUAAAGUCAAAUCGAUUAAGAGGUAUGGGAUGAGUUCGCGUCUGAUUAGCUAGUUGGUGAGGUAAGGGCUCACCAAGGCGACGAUCAGUAGCCGGCCUGAGAGGGUGAACGGCCACACUGGAACUGAGACACGGUCCAGACUCCUACGGGAGGCAGCAGUGGGGAAUAUUGCACAAUGGAGGGAACUCUGAUGCAGCGACGCCGCGUGAGUGAAGAAGGUCUUCGGAUACGUAAAACUCUCGUCCUUGGUAGAAAGAAAAGGACGGUAGACCGAAGGAGGAACGGCCCCGGACUAACUACGUGCCAGCACGCCGACGGUAAAACGUCACGUCG